AGCGAACGCUGGCGGCAGGCCUAACACAUGCAAGUCGAACGGAUCCUUCGGGAUUAGUGGCGGACGGGUGAGUAACACGUGGGAACGUGCCCUUUGGUUCGGAACAACUCAGGGAAACUUGAGCUAAUACCGGAUGUGCCCUUCGGGGGAAAGAUUUAUCGCCAUUGGAGCGGCCCGCGUCUGAUUAGCUAGUUGGUGAGGUAACGGCCCACCAAGGCGACGAUCAGUAGCUGGUCUGAGAGGAUGAUCAGCCACACUGGGACUGAGACACGGCCCAGACUCCUACGGGAGGCAGCAGUGGGGAAUCUUGCGCAAUGGGCGAAAGACUGACGCAGCCAUGCCGCGUGAAUGAUGAAGGUCUUAGGAUUGUAAAAUUCUUUCAGCGGGGACGAUAAUGACGGUACCCGCAGAAGAAGCGCCGGCUAACUUCGUG
rnacentral:rRNA from 1 species